rnacentral:lncRNA from 1 species
UUUGUGAUGGGAUUAUGAGCUGCUUGUGCGUAAAAUCGUAUUCCCUCAGAGUUUGUUCAAGUCCACAAACCUCUGUCUGUGACUGAGCCCCUCUGACAUGGCUCCUCUAGUCACUAGAAGAUUCCGACAGUGGUUGCUUUCGUAAUCGCUUCCAACAUAAAAGCUCCUUAACGGAAACACGUCUUCUGGACUCUCUGCGUGACAGUUUCCGGCGAGGAGUGGGUGUCGCUACAGGAGGUCCGGAAACCUCACCACUGUUUUCGCUGGAAGUAUCUCUGAGCCAUCCCCCCAGCUCCCUUUCCCUCAGUUCAGCUUCUCUCCCCCUGCUGGUUUCCUCUUCCGCUGCUGAGUCUCUUCCAACCUGUCUGAGCCCUUUCACCUCCCUCAGUUCAGCUUCUCUCCCCUUGCUGGUUCCCUCUUCAGCUGCUGAAUCUCUUCCAACCUGUCUGAGUCCUUUCACCUCCCUUCCUUCCGAUGGCAGUUCCCUGACAUCCACCUCCCCCUCCAGGGCCCCCUUCACCCCCUCUCGCCCCCUCCUCUACGGGCGGUGAGGAGGCAAAACCCGGAAUGAACUUCCUUCAUCUUCCGAUGUCUCGAACACUUCUCUCCACCUGUUGCGGUUCCUGGUCUCGAAGCACUCCUCCUCCUCCGAGUCCAUCUCCCCUUCCCCUUCCGAUUCUGGGAAUCCUUCCAACUCCUCCUCCUCCUCAGUGGUCCCAAAGUAUUCCCUCCGGAACCUCUCCACAGGCUGAGGUUUCCGCGGGAACCUUUGAUGGAACAUUUCUAUCAAUACCUCGUCAUUGAUAUCUUUGGCCAUUACCCACGUGUUUUCUGACUCCGGUUCUCCUUCCCACGCUACCAAAUACUCCACCUGAUUCCCCUUCCACCUGGCAUCAAGGAUUUCUGCCACAUGACUGCUGCAUUCUCUUUCUUCUAUGACCGGUCCCAGUGGCCAUCCCUUCUCGUCCCCCCUCGUACGGUGACAGUAACGACCUGUGAAAUACUGGGUGCAGUUUCAUGUGGUUGGGUAACCGGAGCCUGAAAGCCACUGGGUUGACCUGUUGAAUGACCUCAAAGGGACCCAACCUCCUGGGUCGUAAUUUCUUACAACCUCCUUUGAACGGCAACCCUCGGGUUGACAGCCACACCCUAUCUCCAACCCUUAUGGUUUCACCUUCCCUUCGGUUCUUGUCUGCCUGCCUCUUGUAUUCUUCCUUCGCCCUUUCUAAGUUGAGUUGGAGCUGACGGUGGAUUGCUUCCAUUUCUUCUACAAAAUGCUCGGCUGCCGGUACGCUCCAUCUCUCCCCUUCUCCCCCUGGGAAAGCCCUGGGAUGACACCCAUAAUUAGCCAAGAAGGGGCUCAUCCCUGUGGACACAUUCUCGGCAUUGUUGUAGGCAAAUUCCGCCAGCGCCAACUUUUCUACCCAGUCAUUCUCUCUGUCAUUGACAUAACACCUCAGGUAUUGCUGGAGGACACCGUUUGCUCUUUCCGCCUGCCCGUUGGUUUCAGGGUGCCGGGCAGUCGAAAAGUUGACCUCCACCUGCAGUAAGCUCAUGAGCUUCCUCCAGAACCUGGAAGUAAAUUGUUUUCCUCGGUCUGAGACCACCCUCAAUGGCACCCCGUGCAACCUAAAAAUGUGUUCUACAAAUAACUUCGCUGUCUCUUCCGCCGUGACUGCAUGCGAGCAAGCUACAAAGUGGCACAUCUUUGUUAGUAGGUCUACCACCACCAUGAUGGCUGUUUUCCCUUUGGACUUCGGCAGAUCAGUCAUAAAAUCUAUCGACACUGCCUCCCAAGGUCGUUCUGGUGUUGGUAAGGGUUCUAAUAGCCCCGCCGGCGCCCGCCUUUCCCCUUUGGCUCGCUGGCACUGCUCGCACCCUCUUACAUACUCACGUACAUCCUCCCUCACCUUAGGCCACCAAAAUUCCCUGGUGACCAACCACAUGGUUUUGUGUUGCCCACAAUGCCCCGCCGUGGGGCUGUCAUGCAACUGCUUGAGUACCCUCCCCCUUAAGUCUCCUUCAGGGAUAUACAGUGCCCCUUUGUAAUACAAAGCUCCAUUUCUUUCCUCGAAACCCCUUGAUUCCUCUCCCUCAUCCCUAAGACCUCUGAGCUUAUUCUGGGCGUAUUCAUCAUUCUCUGUUUCUUCUACCAGUUCUCUUUGUCCCACCAAUGCCGCCCCACACACCCAGCGGUCCUCUGGAAUGACAUGUCUCUCUUCGGGUGCUCCCUCCCCCUCCCAAUAUUCAGGUUUGCGUGAGAGAGCGUCCGCCCUAAUGUUCUCUGGGCCUGGCACGUAACAAAUCUCAAAGUUAAAUUUGGAGAAUUCCUGGGCCCAUCUCACUUGCCGUUGGUUGAGCACUCGUGCCGUCCUCCAAUACUCUAGGUUCUUGUGGUCAGUGCACACUUGCACCUUAUGUUGUGCGCCAAUUAGCAGGUGCCUCCAUCUCCGGAACGCCUCAUGAAUGGCUAGUAGUUCUCGGUCAUACACCGUGUAGUUCCUCUCGGAUUUGUUCAGCUUUCGCGAAAAAAAGCACACGGUCUCCACUCUGACUCCUCCUUCCCUGGCUGGAGAAGCACCGCCCCAACCGCUCUGUCUGAUGCGUCAGUUUCCACUCUCAUCGGUUUUGUAAAUCCACAUGCAGGAGCUGUUGUUCCGAGGCGAAGGCCCUUUUUAGUUCCUCAAAUGCUUGCUCCGCCUCCUCCGUCCAAACGAACUUCUUCUUACUGCUGAGACAGUCCGUAAUGGGCGCCGUCAGGUGGGCAAAGUUUGGGAUGAACUUACGAUAGAAGUUCCCAAACCCUAAAAACCUCUGCACAUCCUUCCUUGUUUUGGGUGUUUUCCAUUCCAGUACCGCCUGGACCUUGUCGGGAUCCAUGGCCAACCCCUUGUCAGACAGGCGAUACCCCAGGAAUUCCACCUCCUUGGUAUGAAACUGACACUUCUCCAGUUUCACCCACAGCUGGUUGGCUUGCAGCCUGCUCAACACUUCUCUGACGUCUCUCACAUGCUGCUCCUCAUUCUCAGAAUACACCAACACGUCGUCUAAGAAGGCCACACAAUUCUUGUAAAGCAACGGCCCCAGGACGUGGUUCAUAAACGAUUGAAAUGUUGCGGAGCCUGCUUGUAGACCGAAGGGCAUAACUAAGUAUUCAAAUGCCCCUAAAGGGGUGAACAUGGUGGUUUUCCAUUCAUCCCCCUUCCUUAUUCGUAUCAGGUUGUACGCCCCCCUUAGAUCCAGCUUGGUAAAAAUCUUUCCCUUCCGCACCCUUGUCAAAAUGUCGUCAAUCCUGGGCAUCGGGAAGGCCACUGGUUCUGACACUGCAUUUAAGGCCCUGAAGUCACACACCAGUCUCGGCUUGUUCGUGUUUUUUGUCCACAAAAACACUGGGCUGCCCCCACCGCCCUGGACUCUCUGAUGAACCCUCUCUUCAGGUUCUUGUCAAUGAACUCUCUUAGCUCCUGCAUCUCUCUGUCUGACAUGGCGUACAGCUUGCCCACAGGGAGCUGUGCCCCAGGGAGCAAAUUGAUUUGACAGUCAAAGGCUCUAUGCGGUGGUAGUUGGUCAGCUUCCCUUUCGCUGAAGACGUCGCGGAGAUCUGCGUAUUGUCGUGGUACCUUCACGUUCUCCGUCACUUCAGUCCCUGCUAGAGUGGCUUGGGCCCCUGCCAAAACCCUUCCCUCUUUGCAAUGUUCUAAGCAAUGUGCUGACCCAAAAGAAACCACUCUUUGAUGCCAGCCCACCAGCGGAUCAUGUAACGCUAGCCAGCUCAUCCCCAAUAUAAUGGGAGCUCCUCCCAAGGUGGCCACAUUAAAUGCUAUUAGUUCGGUGUGCCUUGCCACCUUCAUUAUCAUUGGGACGGUCUGCAAGCUGACUUCUCCUCCCAACAGCUCCCUGCCAUCGAUCGUGGUUACCUGCAGGGGUUGCUUAAAGGGAGCGUCUGUAUCUGGUGUUCAGCUGCAAACUCUUUGCUCAUGAAAUUGCAGGAGCUGCCUGAGUCCAACAGCGCCUUUAUCUUUAGAGGGUGUCCGUUUGGCAGCUCUAGUGUCACUUCUAUCACUAGGGCGGGUUUAGGAGGUUCUGGAGUGGGCACUUUCACUGCUCUUUGGCCUGGCUGCUGUGCCCCGACAAUGGCAGCCAGGCGUUGGCUUUUAGUUGCUCCGGUAUUUUGUCCUCUCUUCCCUCCACAGCUCCCACCAUCCCUUGCCAUUCCUUCCUCUGGGGGCAGACUCUGGCAAAGUGCCCUGGCUGUUGGCAGAGAUAGCAUUUCCGGGCGCCUUUUCCAUCCUUCUUUCCCCCCUCACUGGGCUUUGAAACUGCGCGCGCGCGCUGUUCCGAUUUCCAUCGGCUCUGCCGGCGGGACAGUUGGCUCUGGAAUGUCUGGAAUGCGGAACUCCUUCCAACGUUCCCCUUUCCCUUCCCGCCUCUCCAAUGCUCUCGCCUCCUGGCGCGCUCCUAUGGCCAGCGCUGAUUUGGUCAGCUGGUCCAUAGACUCCGCCCUGGGCGCCCGGGAAAGUUCAUCUUUCACAGCCGAAGAAAGCCCUUCUUCAAAGAGCAUUUGAAUGGGUUCCGCCGAUAAGUCCCACCCCAAUCUGUGUAUCAGCAUGGUGAACUCAGUCCAGUACUCACGUACAGAUCGGCUCCCCUGUUUGCAAGCCAUUAACUGUCUGCGCACCACUCCCUUUUCAAUAUCGCUGGAAAACAUCAGAUCCAUGGCGCGAAAGAACUUCAUUGUGUCCUUUAGGACGUCACUAUGCGCUGCCAUCAGGGGUCUCACCCAGUCUCUCGCCCCCUUUUCAAGAUGCCCAAUCACAAAAGCCACUCGUGAUUCCUCAUCAGGGAAAUCAUCAAACUGCAGAUUGAGGGCAUAUUGCAUUUCUGUCCGAAAGCUAUGAUAGUCUUUGGGCUCCCCCCCAAAUUUCUGCACCAAUCCUGGUACCUUUCUGGCGAGCUGGGUGGCUUUCUCCCUUUGUCUGCAUCUUGAGCCCUCCUCUCCUCCAGCCUCGCCGUCUGCAGCGCCAGCUGGACCUCCAACACCCGGUACCUUUCUUCCAGGCUUGGACCCGCUCCAGCCCCUGCUUCUCCGGUUCCUGCUGGGUUGCUCAUUAUGCCUUCUCCUGCACAAGCUGCGUUCAAAGACUGUCGGAAUGCUGUGAUGGGAUUAUGAGCUGCUUGUGCGUAAAAUCGUAUUCCCUCAGAGUUUGUUCAAGUCCACAAACCUCUGUCUGUGACUGAGCCCCUCUGACAUGGCUCCUCUAGUCACUAGAAGAUUCCGACAGUGGUUGCUUUCGUAAUCGCUUCCAACAUAAAAGCUCCUUAACGGAAACACGUCUUCUGGACUCUCUGCGUGACAGUUUCCGGCGAGGAGUGGGUGUCGCUACAGGAGGUCCGGAAACCUCACCACUGUUUUCGCUGGAAGUAUCUCUGAGCCAUCCCCCCAGCUCCCUUUCCCUCAGUUCAGCUUCUCUCCCCCUGCUGGUUUCCUCUUCCGCUGCUGAGUCUCUUCCAACCUGUCUGAGCCCUUUCACCUCCCUCAGUUCAGCUUCUCUCCCCUUGCUGGUUCCCUCUUCAGCUGCUGAAUCUCUUCCAACCUGUCUGAGUCCUUUCACCUCCCUUCCUUCCGAUGGCAGUUCCCUGACAG